AUACGGAGGGUGCAAGCGUUAUUCGGAAUCACUGGGCGUAAAGGACGCGUAGGCGGGUUGGCAAGUCAGAUGUGAAAUCCUACAGCUUAACUGUAGAACUGCAUUUGAAACUGCUAACCUAGAGUAUGGGAGGGGGAGAUGGAAUUAGUGGUGUAGGAGUAAAAUCCGUAGAUAUCACUAGGAAUACCGAAAGCGAAGGCGAUCUCCUGGAACAUAACUGACGCUAAGGCGUGAAAGCGUGGGGAGCAAACAGGAUUAGAAACCCCAGUAGUCC
rnacentral:rRNA from 1 species